CUCCGGGGAUAACAGGCUGAUACCGCCCAAGAGUUCAUAUCGACGGCGGUGUUUGGCACCUCGAUGUCGGCUCAUCACAUCCUGGGGCUGAAGUCGGUCCCAAGGGUAUGGCUGUUCGCCAUUUAAAGUGGUACGCGAGCUGGGUUUAGAACGUCGUGAGACAGUUCGGUCCCUAUCUGCCGUGGGCGUUGGAGAAUUGAAAGGGGCUGCUCCUAGUACGAGAGGACCGGAGUGGACGAACCUCUGGUGUUCGGGUUGUGUCGCCAGACGCAUUGCCCGGUAGCUAAGUUCGGAAUCGAUAACCGCUGAAAGCAUCUAAGCGGGAAGCGAGCCUUGAGAUGAGUUCUCCCUGGCGCUUUAAGCGUCCUAAAGGGUUGUUCGAGACUAGAACGUUGAUAGGCAGGGUGUGUAAGCGUUGUGAGGUGUUGAGCUAACCUGUACUAAUUGCCCGUGAGACUUAACCAU
rnacentral:rRNA from 1 species